UUGAAUAUUGAUGGAAGAGCGCAAUGGGCAAAACCGUACUCAAUUUUUAUGAGGUUGGGAGCAGCAAUCUACAAAAAGGAUUCUUUAGUGAACGUGGAGAGAUAUGAUUGGAGAACGUGUUUACAGAGAGAGAGUAAGGAAGAUUACAAGGUGUGGAGGGUGGCGCGUGCGUUUACUUUCUCAGGGAAAAGAAAGUAACGGGACACGGCGAGGAAGGGGAUUGGUUAUUGGGGAAACUCCUGGCAGUGGUGGCAGAGAAAGCGUGAGAAGAGAGAAGGAUACUUGGUGAGAGUAAGAGAGGGAAAGGGACUACGUGGUGGAGAGACUGCAUGAAUAGCGAAGUUUUCAAUGUUGGGUUUCAACGAUAUUCGGCAAUUGUGGCAACGUGAUCCGUGGAAGGAAGGAUAAAUUUGUCAGAUUAGGCAUUUGGCAGGUGGAUAGAAUAGACAAUAUACCACAUGUGAGAGAUGGCUUGCCGCCGGUCAACACCAUUAUCAACUAAAUGUAUCAUUUAUCCUUACAGCAUAAGUCUUUACUAAAAAAAAUAUCAUAAAGGACGCGAUUUAAUAGUUUUAAAUCUUAGACAUCAACUACAUUGGCUUUCAUAUUCCCUUUCGUGUCAAUAUGAAAAAACAUCAAGAUUCCACCGAAUUGGGAUAUGUAAUUUAUGUAAUUAUAAAAAUAAAUUUCCAGAUUCCUAUA